CCUACGGGAGGCAGCAGUGAGGAAUAUUGGUCAAUGGACGAGAGUCUGAACCAGCCAAGUAGCGUGAAGGAUGACUGCCCUAUGGGUUGUAAACUUCUUUUAUAAAGGAAUAAAACGAGGCACGUGUGCCUUUUUGCAUGUACUUUAUGAAUAAGGAUCGGCUAACUCCGUGCCAGCAGCCGCGGUAAUACGGAGGCUCCGAGCGUUAUCCGGAUUUAUUGGGUUUAAAGGGAGCGUAGAUGGGUUGUUAAGUCAGUUGUGAAAGUUUGCGGCUCAACCGUAAAAUUGCAAUUGAUACUGGCAGUCUUGAGUACAGUUGAGGUAGGCGGAAUUCGUGGUGUAGCGGUGAAAGGCUUAGAUAUCACGAAGAACCCCGAUUGCGAAGGCAGCUUACUAAACUGUGACUGACAUUGAUGCUCGAAAGUGUGGGUAUCAAACAGGAUUAGAUACCCGGGUAGUC
rnacentral:rRNA from 1 species